GACGAACCGUGCGAACGUUGUUCGGAAUCACUGGGCUUAAAGGGCGCGUAGGCGGGCCUUCAAGUCCGGGGUGAAAGCCCCCAGCCCAACUGGGGAAGUGCCUUUGAUACUGCGGGCCUCGAGGGAGGUAGGGGCGUGCGGAACUUCCGGUGGAGCGGUGAAAUGCGUAGAUAUCGGAAGGAACACCGGUGGCGAAAGCGGCGCGCUGGACCGUCUUCUGACGCUGAGGCGCGAAAGCCAGGGGAGCGGAACGGG
rnacentral:rRNA from 1 species